AUUGAACGCUGGCGGCAGGCCUAACACAUGCAAGUCGAACGGUAACAGGAAACAGCUUGCUGUUUCGCUGACGAGUGGCGGACGGGUGAGUAAUGUCUGGGAAACUGCCUGAUGGAGGGGGAUAACUACUGGAAACGGUAGCUAAUACCGCAUAACGUCGCAAGACCAAAGAGGGGGACCUUCGGGCCUCUUGCCAUCGGCUGUGCCCAGAUGGGAUUAGCUAGUAGGUGGGGUAACGGCUCACCUAGGCGACGAUCCCUAGCUGGUCUGAGAGGAUGACCAGCCACACUGGAACUGAGACACGGUCCAGACUCCUACGGGAGGCAGCAGUGGGGAAUAUUGCACAAUGGGCGCAAGCCUGAUGCAGCCAUGCCGCGUGUAUGAAGAAGGCCUUCGGGUUGUAAAGUACUUUCAGCGGGGAUGAAGGGAGUAAAGUUAAUACCUUUGCUCAUUGACGUUACCCGCAGAAGAAGCACCGGCUAACUCCGUG
rnacentral:rRNA from 1 species